GACGAACGCUGGCGGCGCGCUUAACACAUGCAAGUCGAGCGAAGCGGCGGACGGGUGAGUAACACGUGAGUAACCUGCCUUAGACAUUGGGAUAGCCUCGGGAAACCGGGAUUAAUACCAAAUGGUCUAAGAUGGACUCGCGUCCCAUUAGCUAGUUGGUGGGGAACGGCCCACCAAGGAGACGAUGGGUAGCCGGCCUGAGUGUGGGAACGACGACAUUGUAACUGAGAAACGGUCCAAACUCUACGGGUGGCAGCAGUGGGGAAUAUUGCACAAUGGAGGGAAUGCUGAUGCAGCGACGCCGCGUGAACGAAGAAGGCUUUCGAGUCGUAAAGUUCUUUUAUAUGGGAAGCGGUACCAUAAGAAAAAGCCCCGGCUAACUACGUGCCAGCAGCCGCGGUAAUAC
rnacentral:rRNA from 1 species